UUUAAUCUUGAAAAUACCCAAAAAUAAUUUUGUUUUAAUUGUCACUCUCAUUAGUAGUUAUUUUGCUUGCGUAUAAUUAACUAAAUAAGAUCGUGUUCUUAUCCUUGGUUCCGGACAAAGAAUAAUAUAUGGGUUCGAACGACCCAUUUUUAGUCCCAAAAUUUGGACCAAACCCAUAUCCAAACCCACACCUUACACAUAAAACAAAAUAAUGGGAAACAAAUUUUUCUCAAAUUAAGAAGGAAUACACGGAUGGACACCAAGUGAGCCCCCCUCAAUUUGACUCUUCAGAUUUUUGGAGACACAUAAUCAUGGACAGAUUUUACACU
rnacentral:lncRNA from 1 species